CACGUAGGGUGCGAGCGUUGUCCGGAAUUACUGGGCGUAAAGAGCUCGUAGGUGGUUUGUCGCGUUGUUCGUGAAAACUCACAGCUUAACUGUGGGCGUGCGGGCGAUACGGGCAGACUGGAGUACUGCAGGGGAGACUGGAAUUCCUGGUGUAGCGGUGGAAUGCGCAGAUAUCAGGAGGAACACCGGUGGCGAAGGCGGGGUCUCUGGGCAGUAACUGACGCUGAGGAGCGAAAAGCGUGGGGGAGCGAACAGG
rnacentral:rRNA from 1 species